AAGCCAAAUGACAUGCACCUUGUUUCAUAAGCAUCAGGAUUACAGCGGAAAGAAUAAGGAAAAUGAUGGGUCCCUUUCCUCCCUUUCCACAAGGCCUUACAUCUGGCAAAUUGUGAAAUGCCUUUACGGUCAAGGUAGCAAGUGGGAAGCAAAUGAGUCACAGAACAGAAUGGGCAGACCGCUCUUCAGGGGAUGGAUGCAGGAGAGCCACGAGAGACGGAAGAGAGGAGGGCUGGAUGCAGCCCUGGCGACCACUAGGUGGAGGUCACACCUUUAAUGCAAUAUCAGCCCUGUUUUGUAAACGAGCAGACUGACUCUCAGAGAGAAGUGCCUUGUCCUGAAUUUCACUCAGUGCUGGUAAGUGCAGGCGUGGGAAUUCAAUUCCAUGUCUUCCCACCUUCCUUACUAAUGCAUUACUCGCAGUGCAAGAACUAGAGAUACGUAUACAGAAAUACAGAGACCUUGUGAGAUGUACUGUUUACAACUCUUGGAUGUUUGUGGAAACAGAGCUCUAUGAACUGACAUUCCAGAGUAGGAAGAGCCCUUCUUGAAGCUGAGACCUCCCCUCCCCCGGCUAUGUUCUUUCUUGGGGACAGGCUCUGAGUCUGACCAUGGUCUUGCCAGAGGUGGAGGACUCUAUAUGGAAAAGAUCUCCCAGUGCAGGUACUGCUGGCUGCACCUGCUGCCAUGGCCAGCUGGAGCUAAAGGAGGUUCUGCAGCUGUGCCGCAGAUGGGGGCUGGCCUGGGAAUAGCUUGAGAUCAUAAGGGGACCAAGGACAAAGUCCUGCUGGUGGGACUGGCCUGCCUCCAAAUAAGCCUGUGCCCAUCCUACCCUCCAGCAAUUUGUCAGAAUGUGAGCCUGCACAGGGCAGAGGGAUGAAAAGAUGGCUUCAUAUUCUCUGCAGUACGUAAUUUUCAGGAUUUAGGAUAGAGGCAGACCAAACUCUCCAACAAAGGCCACAGCGUGGUCCUUGAAGAGGGGGCUAGGCUAAAAAGGGGGCAAACUAAAGGAGCAUAGAGACCACCUAAAACUGUGAUGCAAUCUUUUUUUUUUUUUUUUUUUUUUUUUUUUAGGGCUGUACCCGCAGCGUUUGGAAGUUUCCAGGCUAGCCGUUGAAUCGGAGCUACAGCUGCUUGCCUACACCACAGCAAUGCUAGAUCUGAGUCGCAUCUGCAACUUAUAUCACAGCUCACAGCCACACCG
rnacentral:lncRNA from 9 species